CUCUUGGUUCCUGCUGGCAGCAUUUUCUGACUCUGUUUUGUACCAUUAGCGUCUGGGGAGCACACCGCGGGACUUUCAUUCUGGAGGAAGGCUCAUUACAAUUAUCUGAGCCUCUGUCACCUCAGGAUCUGAUUACGGUGCUGGGGUUGCACCUUGAAAUCAUUACAAUUAAGACUUAAUGAAGUGAGUAACUACAGAGUCCUGCAGUUACUCCCCACCAACUUGCUGCAUCUGCCUCUAAUGCAGGAAUAGUUACCACCUGAUUUUUAUAAUUUUUAAGAGGUGAAACCUGGUGUUUCAAGUUUGUCCUGCAAAAUCCCACAAUGCUGGGUCUUUGUGAGCCUAGGCAGCUCCCCUUCCACAUCCCAACAUAGACUGGGUGAGCUUAGAGCAUGCUGCAGGCUGACAAUGGGUGCAUGUAUUGGGGUGAAGCUCUGUUUUUUGGUCUGGAAAGUGACCUUGAUGACAAGGAAAUCCUGGGUGAUGACUGUGGAGAAGGCUCUGCUCAUGUCCACUGAACUCUGGUCUAACUUCCAUGUGGUGCAGUAGGCUGAUGUGCCUGAGUGAGUUCCUGGGCAUUGGGAGCCUACAUCCCUGGGCAGGAGCCUACUUCUCUCCUAGGUUUGCUGUUCAUGAGCAAUGCUGGGCUUGAUCCUCCAGACUCUUUUGCUAGCAGAGCAGUGAAAAGAAAUGAUGGCAUGGGAAAAUGUGAAGUUUGUAGGGAUAAUGGGGAGGUUUGGUGAGGUUACCAUUCACAAAGGCAGCCCACAGUGGGCACGAGACCAGAGCUCCUGCUGCUAGCACCUCCUUGGCUCCUCCUGACGUGCCUUGAGGAUGUACCUGACCUGAGUCAGGAGAGCAGAGUGAAAUAUGGAGCUAACCAGCACUUGGACGCCUUCUGGCCACCCGGGGGUGAAAUGGAGCAUACGUGUAUGCAGGUCAGAAGACUUUUGAAGUGUUGCCAAGAUAACAUACUCCUUCUGCAUGGACUAGAGAUUGCUCAGAGGUGGCCUCUCUGCCCAUGUAAAGGUGGAACUGGAAGCAGACCUCGCACCUCUGGGGAGCUUUGCUUCGUCCUGCUUGGCUGCCUACUGAGAAAGAUCAUGCAGCAGGUAGCUAGCUUGAAAGUGUGAAACUGUUCAGAGACAAGGACACAAAAACCCAGUGCCAUGACUCUGAGCAGAUGACAAAGUAGCAGUUAAGGGAAGGAAGAUGGGCUUGUCAGCAUGUAAGGGGUUAUUAUUUCAGCCACGAGUGUAUUGAUGAUAUUUACCUGAAAUGCACUUCACUAUUGAGUGGCUUCAGUAGCUGUCAGAAAGAGACACUGGGAAUACCCAAGGAAACACAGACUGAAAUAGACUGAGAACAGACUGAGUUCAGGUCUAGAACUGAGAACAGCCUAGAGCAAGCACUGCAAGCUCAUUGGGGGCCCUAAUAACCGAAAAUACUCCUCCAAAGACUCAUUCUUCAGCUGGAAAAGCUUCUUGGGAGAUGCAAGAAUGCUCAACAAACUUCCCUUAGAACAGACUGAAAGAGAAGAAGCUCCAGAGGUCUGCAAAAUUUGAACACAAAACAUGCAAACUUCAGCUUAGUGACUCUGUAGGGUGCUAUUGCCCAUCCAAAGACGUGGUAUAGGUUUGAUGUGAAAUUCCUCAUGACUCCAUAAAAGCUGCAUACCAAAACUGAUAUGUAUUGUUUUUUUUUUUUUCCAGACAGACAUUUUCAAAUGGAGAAUUAUUUUGCUGUGACAUUCUUAACAACUUCUGUUUCAAUUUUAUGCUUGUGUCCUCUGACAGUGAGCCUUCUUUAUUUCCUCCAAAUUGACUAGGAAGGGCAGGCUCUCCACCUCCUUUGCUUACAGUCUGCUGAGUACUGACCACAUACGGAAAGUGAGGGUCUUUGCACCAAAGAAUCUGGUGUGGUCACAGAAAUAAAUGUCUCUGAAACAGUCAGACAGCUUUCUAGGAUUUGAUAUACUCUACCAGCUGAAAAAUGAACUUGCAAGUCUGAAAAGCCACUCAUGUGUCAGAUCUGAUGACAGUACUAGGUCACUCUUCAAUUUCAUAGUAAGAGACAGUAGGCUCAAUUCCCUACCUGGACUUCUCAGUGAAAUGAACUAUUUCUUAUAUAUAUUUUUUAACACACUUAGGCAAACAUAAAAUGCAGUACACGUUUCCUCAGAACCCGUCGGUUGUGCCUGUCUGAAUCACUUGACAAAAUAUUUUCUCUGAUCUUAUAUUGCAUUUCUAGUCCCAUCAGUAGCAAGGUAUUUUAAGGGAAAUAAUAACAAUGCAGAAGGAGGGCAGUGAGAGACUCUUGACAGGAGGAGUUUGAUGCCUCUGGGAAAACAGAAUCCAUUUACACAAAGUCUAUAUUCAGUUAUAAUGACGAGGCCUUGCAAGAGGCUCUGAGAUUUUA